UGUUUGAGGUCACACAGGAACGGAGGUGAAGAAAGAGUCACGGGUGGGGCGUGAGGGGCUGCUCACCGUGGCCGGAGUGGAGAGUUUAAAGUAGAGAGUGCCGGGACCGUGCUAUUUAUUUCUGGAGCCCGAGGCCACCUCCCCUUAGGAGAUGAUGCGCAGGGCCAGGCUGAGGCAGAAUUGUGGGCCUUUUCAGAUUAAUGCCAAGAAAAUAUAUGCAGAAGAGACACCCAUGUCAUUGAACAAGAGGUUCUAAUAUUACAUAACAGGGUAGUGGUAUGUAGCUGUAGUGGUAUGUGCUCUCUCUCAAUGCUGAGCUGCAGCUCCCAGUCAGCCACUGGAUCAUGAGGGUAAAAUACGGAUACUUGACAUCUUCUUAAAGAACAUCAUGCCUGCUAAGCCAUCCAGUUUGGAUGCCCCAGUGCCUUCCACCAGCCAUUCUCAAGCCUCAUUAGAAGAGAGAGAUUGAUGACCCUGUAGCUGCAGCAUCCCAUCAUCCUGCAUUUUAGUUCAAUGCUUCAAACGUUCUUCAGGCCCAGUGUGCUUUCAGCUGUGUAUGUUAAUGGGAGAGUGAGCAAGUUUCGUCCUUGUGCCUGCAUCUGCUGGGAAACGAUAAGAGCCCAACAUAUGUUAGAAGCAACAAUCGCAGACAAAGAGUACAACUUGUUUUUGAAGACUCAAACUGAAACACUGGCCCUUCCUGAGUCUCAAGCCUGCUGGCCUUUGGGCUGGAACUAAACCCUCAGCUCUCCUGUGUCUCCAACCUGCCCGCUCUGCCUAGUGAUCUUGGGACUUCCCAGACUUUAUAAUCAUGUGCAUCUCCUGCUGUUCCCAAUCUACUCAUCCUAGGAACCAACUCAGGUCAGGAGAAGCAAGGAAAGCCUUACAACCUGUUACUGACCGGAGGGGAUGAAGGAGACAGGGAAACUACAACACAUGGAAUGUGGUAUCCUGAAUGGGACCCUGGAACCAAAGAAUGACACUGGGGAAGAACUGCUGAAAUUCAAGUAAAAUGUGGAGUCUCGUUAGUGGCAAUGUACCAAGGCUACAAACCUGUACAGCAUGUGAUUCUACUGAAUAUACGGGCAAUUGUUAACACAAUGAUGUGAUGACUGAUUUCCAGCAGCUGAAGGGAAGUCUUUUGGAUUAACUUUUGUGAUUGAUUUGCUCUGGGUUCAGUCAGCCUGCAAGG
rnacentral:lncRNA from 1 species